UGGUAAUACAAAAACUGUGACCGCAAGCUGUCUAUGUGUCCCCCUGAUCCCCUACGUGCCCACAAGUAGCCUUUUUAUCCCCUUGACGAACUUUAAAACACAUCCAUCUGGAGUGUUAUUUUCUGAUAAAAUGAUGCAAGCCGUAGCAGUUUCUAACACAUGGCUAACCUUCUUGAAAUUCAACACAAUGGUCAACGAAUCUGCCAAUAAACCUGUUCAGGUGGCUCCUCGCUUACUCCCGAAGCACCCAGAGGUGUUAAACCCUCAGAAUUCCACUGACCACAAACAGUCUGUAUUUUUUACAAUGGGAUAGAUUGUACGUGGCAAGUCCAUGUCUCAGCUUUCUGAAGAGAUAUCAAGCUAAAACCUGAUUUCCCAUGCUAGUCUGGACACGUGCUACCCCUGUGGUGAGUUUCAAUAAGAUUGGAGAAACUUGAAAUCUCGGCUCAAAAAAACUAAAA